AGCCAUGUAGUGUAAAACACGUAAGAUUGCAAAUCUUAAAAUGGAGAGAGAUCUCCCGGGGCUU
rnacentral:tRNA from 1 species